rnacentral:rRNA from 1 species
GGACUACCGGGGUAUCUAAUCCUGUUUGAUCCCCACGCUUUCGUGCCUCAGUGUCAAUUCAGGCCUAGUGAACUGCCUUCGCAAUCGGUGUUCUAUUACAUAUCUAAGCAUUUCACCGCUACAUGUAAUAUUCCAUCCACCUCGACCUGAUUCAAGCUAAGCAGUAUCAAUGGCAGUUUUACGGUUGAGCCGUAAUAUUUCACCACUGACUUACAAAGCCACCUACGCACCCUUUAAACCCAGUGAAUCCGGAUAACGCUUGCACCCUCCGUAUUACCGCGGCUGCUGGCAC